UACAUAUGAUGUAGUAGUAAGUACUUAAUAAAUAAAUAGAUUCCCUUUGGAGACAUUGUCGAAAUCAUUUUGUGAGACUGUCCUUUGUUUGGUAAGGACUUUGUAGGCUUGAAUCACUUGAUUAUCCGAAAAAUUAAGAUGAUUCCGUGCUUCAGAGGACAAGUUAAGCCGUAAGCCGUAAAAGACACAUCCACUGACCCGCAGUGGAGCAGAGUAGUGGAGUAUGCUUCGUAGCUCCUCCGGUAGAUUGAGGGGAAGCCUGUGCCCAGAAAUGGGAAGUAUAUAGGCUGUUAAAGUUAUGUUAUAUACCAUUGGGUUGCAAUUUCAACAUGGAUAUGAUACAUAAUUAUUGUGGAUAGAUACUCGUACAACGCUUAUGACCUAUGACAAGGCCUCGUACCUUCUUAUCGCAUAUAACCAAUAACAUUAAUCACAAUAUUUAUUAAAUUUCGAUUCCCGGUAAGUAAUGCAUAGGGCUUGCAGAAAAGAUUAGUUUACAAACUGCACUUGUGAUGUUUAGAAUAUAAUAAUAUGAUAAGUAUCAUUCGUUUCGGGCACCAAGUAAAAAGUGCCGGGCCGAAGAAAGCUACAAGCCGCUCGAACUUUCAAAAUUUUAAAUUAGGUAGGGCACUAAACUUCGAAGGAAUUUGUAAUAAAUAAUUUCUUAUUAUUCUAUUAUUAUUUUAUUCUAUUAUAAGUAAUAGUAUCUACGGCAACCCUGCCUUUUACACACUCUAGUUCCUGACCAUUUUAGCAAAUUAUUGUUGUUUUCUUCUUUAUAUAGUAAACUGUUGCACUGCAUAUGUGUUUAUACGUGUUUUAUUUAUAACGUCAUGACUAUUAAGGUAAAUUAGAAACUUAAUAUUAUUGUUUGCGCUCACUUGUCGAAACAUACUUACGUACCUAUUAUAAAAAUGAGUGUUACGUCUCUGUGCCUAGUGAUGAUUGGAAUAACUUGCUUUUUUCAUCAUCAAGUGACUGCUAUAUUAGCCGAGGAGGAUUGCAAACAACAGACCAACAAAAUAAACUUAAACUUAGUCCAAGCAGUAAAAGACAACAGAAGAGAUCUUUUCAGAAGAAACUGCGAGGCCUUCCGAUAUCUUAUAGAACAAUGUGUUAAGAGUUACUUCAGCUCUACUUCCAUUAAGCUAGAUUAUGAAGAAAGUUGUCUAAACGAAGAGUCCCAAAAAUGGUUGAAGUCAAGAGGGACAUCGGUACGAGGAGGGUUACUAACAGGGACCCUUACUAUUCUAGCUGUUAUGUCAAGGCUUUAUAUAAAAUAAAA